GGUUGUGGCUCAGUGGUAGAUCACUCGCCUAGCACACGCGAGGCCCUGGGUUCAAUCCUCAGCACCA
rnacentral:tRNA from 1 species